GGAUGUUAAAAUAGUGGUUAUGUUAUUCUAUUAUUAAACAGUUUUCAUCACUUAUAUAUAGCUCGCAGCAAAUGCACAACCGCCAGUGGUUUUGGGAGCUCUGGCUGGAUUUAGCUGGUAUCGGUUCAGUUCAUGCACAAUAUUAGCAGGUUUGUUCCUCCUUCCUCUCCUGUUUUCAUGUUUCUUUCUUCUUUGAUUCGUAAAUUUAAUUCGUAUUGAGGCUUAGAAAUUGGUAGCAAUAUGAUUAAUUUUGUAUUUUGAAUAUACACGGGGAUUAAAGGAAGUAGAUGAGCCUGUUUCAGGCAUUUAAUCUGCUAGAAUUUGUGCUUACUUAUCCGAAAUAGAACUAAAUUUGGCAAUGUAUCAUGGGGUAAUGUUUAUUUGAUGCCAAAUGAGUUAAAGGUUUAUUUUUCUCACAGCUUUAGUUCAACAAUCAAAGGAAUAACUUGGGACCUGGUUUUAACCGGAGAAAAAUAGAGUGACUGGUUCAUUAUCUACUGACUUUCAAAACUAGAAACAACGGAUUUUUCGAUUAUAGAAACUAAGAGUUAAAAGUUUGUUGAAAUAAAUGAACUCUUCAGUAGUUUUUAAAUGGAAUAAUAAUCAUGUGCCAUCAAUUAAUAUAAGUCAUUGUGGGAAAAAGAAAAAGGGAAAGCUUACCAUUUACUGGUUCAUUUCUUAGUUCAAAACAGAGAAUAGUAAAAGUUAUAUAGACAAGGGAAAAGUGAGUCUCGUGUUACUUUUCAUGGUAAGUGAAAUGUAUGAAGUUCCAAUGGUGGAUAUUGAUCUGGACAUUAACAUAGCGUUAUGUAGAGGAAGAGGCAAACCCGAAAAUAAAGAAGAUAAAUAACAUCAAAUUUUAACGUGAAAAACCCUUCAAAUCGGAGUUAAAAACCACGGGAUCACAAAGAUCCAAAAAGCUCCACUGUAACAAUAAGAGAGUUACAGAAGUUCUCCAAAUUGGCAAUACAACAAGUGUCAAACACGGAGCAACAAUAACAACAAGAGCACCAACUAAUCAAUUGAAGAAAGAGUAUAAUCCACAAAAAUAAAGAUGUUGUUCGAGGCAAGAAAUCAGAUAGCUACGAGCCUCUAAAUCUGAUCUCAAGCGUUCAAAUCCAAGACAAAGAUGUUAUAAAGCUCUGUCAAAGAGGCACGAAAUCAGAUGCUAAGAACCUCCAAAUACGAUCUCCACCGUUCAAAUCCAAGAUCAAGAUGUUGCGAACAGUCAGUCAAAAUUUCAGCCCGAACCAACGGUUAACGAAUCGAAAAACGUGAUUUGAAUAUUGGCUGAUCAGAAUAAAAAUCUGCAGCAAAACUAAUUUUUUUGUUCUCUCUUCUCUCUUGACGAAAGCUCUCUCAAAAACCACUCUUAUGUGCCUAAGUCUUUCAAAGACUUGUAUCAAUAAGCAUAGAAUAAUUCUCCAAGGUUGUCCUAUUUAUAGAUCAUGAGUGGUGCUUUCUCUUAAAGCCAAAACCCACUCAAAAUAGGAUUAAACUGAAUCCAAUUCCGAAUAGGAUUGGAAACCAAAAAAGAAUAGGAUUAUGCCAUUGGGCCUUUGGCUGGACAACAUGCCCAACAAAAUCCCCCUCCAGCCAAGGGACCAAAUGUAUCUUUAAGUAGAGGAACUAUUGACAGGCUUCAUGCCUGCCAAUUUUCUACAAAAUUCAUGUUUAUCUGCAAGCUUAACUAUAAAGUCCUCAUACUGCUCCAUAUAAAUUACCUCAUCUAACUCAACAUGAAGAAAAACAGUCUCGACAUCCAUCUUCAACCUCUAAAUCUAGACAUACAGUUAAGCCUAGAACCACACGAAUAGAAGACAUCUUCACAAUAUGGGAGAAAAUUUCAUCAAAGUCAACUCCCUUCUUCUGGUCAAAACCUUUAACAACUAACUCGCCUUGUAUCUAGGCGCAUAGGUAUGGUUAUCUUACUUUAUUAUGAAUAUCCAUUUGUUAGAUAAAGCUCUCUUACCUUUCGGCAAAUUUACUAACUCAUAUGUGCCAUUCUCGUGGAGUGACUUCAUCUCAUCUUCCAUCGCCUCAAUCCACUGAUAUUUGUGAGUAUCAUGCAUGGCUUCAUCAUAAUUCUCAGGUUCUCCCAUGUCAGUCAAAAGUACACACUCGUCAGGAGGAUAACGCAUAGAUUUUUGCUUCUCCCUUGUAGAUCUUCUAAGAGAGGUUUCAGGAGCAUUCAAAGUAGGUACCUGUGCAGGAGUUGGUUGCUGAUCAACCACAACUUCAUCAACUGGAGCAUCCAUAACAUCUACACCAUGAUGAUUAUUUUGAUCUUGAUCACUAUGUCCAUCAUUGUUUUGGGUACCUUCAUGUGCAAUAGGUGCCUUAGCAAUUGAAACUGGAUCAAUAUCAACUAAGCUCUCAUUACUCUGAGAAUCUAUCUUCNNNNNNNNNNNNNNNNNNNNNNNNNNNNNNNNNNNNNNNNNNNNNNNNNNNNNNNNNNNNNNNNNNNNNNNNNNNNNNNNNNNNNNNNNNNAAUAUUGCAUCACGACUUCUAAUAAGUUUAUUGUCAACUGGAUCAUAAAAACGAUACCCAAACUCAUCUUGACCAUAAUCGAUAAAGAUGCACUGCUUAGUUUUGACAUCCAGUUUCGAUCUCUCAUCUUUAGGAACAUGGAUACAAGCUUUACGCCCAAAAACUCUCAAGUGAUCAUAAGAAAUAUCUUUGGCAAACCAAACUCUGUCCGGGACAUAACCAUCUAAAGCAACUGCAGGAGACAAAUUGAUAACAUAGGCAACAGUGUUAAGCUAAGUUGCUCGAACACGACACUUUCGGUGUCGUACCCGUGUCGAUACGACACUAACACGGGUAAGGGUGUGGGAUCUGCGUUGGAUCCGGUCAAAAUAGAUCGGGUGCGUUGACCAAAAAUUUGGGAAAAUUAAUUUUCCUAAGUAAAGAUUUGAAGAGAUGGGAAACGAAAUACCUUCAAUUUUGCUGNNNNNNNNNNNNNNNNNNNNNNNNNNNNNNNNNNNNNNNNNNNNNNNNNNNNNNNNNNNNNNNNNNNNNNNNNNNNNNNNNNNNNNNNNNNNNNNNNUUUUGUCUCCUUUGAAGCUUUUUGUCUUCAAUCUUUGAGUUUCCAUGCUGCAAGUUUCUGAAAUCAAGAUCUGUGUUUUUUUUAGGGCAGAGAAGUUGUUGAUGGGUGGUGGACUACUGGACUGAGGGAUAUUGGAAAGGGCUCGAAUGGGUGUAUCGUACUGGAAAAAACCAGAGAGAUGGAGAGGGUUUUGUUGAGGAAGAUGAUAAAGAACAUGGCGCAGAGAAGAACGACUCAAGAAGACGACUAAGACUCUAAUUAGGAUUUAGGUUAAUUGAUAUAAUUUCUAAUAUUUUGCUGACAAGAGGGGUUGCUCUGAUGGUAAGCAACCUCCACUUCCAACCAACAGGUUAUGAGUUCGAGUCUCCCCAAGAGCAAGAUGGGAAGUUCUUGGAUGGAAGGAUGCCGAGGGUCUAUUUGGAAACAGCCUCUCUACCUAAGGGUUGGGUUAAGGUCUGCGUACACACUACCCUCCCCAGACCCCACUAAGUGGGAUUAUACUGGGUUGUUGUUGUUGUUGUUGCUGCCACGUUGAUUAUUGAGAUAAACACUUCAAAAGUUUUAAGUGAGUGAAUAGGUUAAAAAAUAAAAUAAGUAUUGAAGAAUGUAUUUAAAUUAUAAAAUAAAAUACAUAUAUAAGUUUUUGCAAACUCCAAGGAAAUUUUACUCAUUCAGAAUAUAUUUUUACAAUUAUAAUCAAUAAAUAAAAUUUUAGUUGGUUUAAAUCUCUAAAUAUUAAAGAUAUUAACAUUAAAGAUAUUAUAAUUAAAAGAAUAGACUACACUUUAAUGGCAUAAGUAUAUUUUUCAGAAAAAUAAUUAUAUAAAAUAAUGUAUAUACAAUAGUUUAAUUAUUUCAUUUAAGAAAAAUUUUAUAUCGGAUGACACUUUGAAAUGCUUUAUAAAAAUAUGAUAUUUACAUUCCUAAUGUGUGUGUACUUACAAAAAAAAAGUAUGGAGGAAAAGAGCCAAAAAGAGCAAAACCUCUUUUUUCAAAAUUAUUUGAUUUAGAUAAGAUAAAAUUACAAUUAUGUCCAAUGUGAAACAUAGUUUUAAGGGGUAAAAAAAAUGGCGAACGACAUUUCGCUAAGGAUAUUCGUGCUUUUAAUAUAGUAUAUACUUAUUAUAUAAUGAAUCGCACAAAGUUUAAUCACAUAUUUCUUCGGGGCUACUACUUAACUCUAUCCAGUUUACCAUUAAUAAGACAUUACGAUAUGUUUAGGGGCGCCAAACAUUUAUUUCAUUUUAUUAGUAUAAGUUUUAUAUAACGAAUCGCACAAUGUUUAAUCACAUAUUUCUUCGGGACUACUACUUAACUCUAUCCAGUAUUAGUAAGACAUUACGAUAUGUUUAGGGGCGCCAAGGGUCGAUUGGAAACAGCCUCUCUACCCUUUCGGGUAGGGGUAAGGCUUGUGUAUGUAUUACCCUCCCAGACACCACUUUCUUCGGGACUACUACUUAACUCUAUCCAGUUAACCGUUAAUAAUACAUUACUAUACGUUUAGUUCUCAAACAAUCAAUUAGUCGAUCAUACUAACCAAUCAAACGUGUUAAACAUUUAUUUCAUUUUAUUAGUAUAAGUUUUAUAUAACGAAUCGCACAAUGUUUAAUCACAUAUUUCUUCGGGACUACUACUUAACUCUAUCCAGUUAACCGUUAAUAAGACAUUACAAUAUGUUUAGUUCUCAAGCAAUCAAUUAAUCGAUCAUACUGACCAAUCAAACGUGCUAAAGUUAAAUUAACAUUAGUCUAGGCUAACGUAACAUUACUAUAUUUUUGUUAGUAUAGACUGACAUAUUAAAUUACAUUAACAUUUUUCUAUUUAAUAACAUUGACUACAAAUAUAUAUAUUGAUAUUUUAUAAGUAAGAAUCAAAAAGAAUUGGUCACAUCUUUUGCAUUAAAUGCUUUUGUCCUCUGAUGUCCCCCCACCUUUGGAUUUCCCCUAAAAGGUACAAAAGUGGCAUUAUAGCCAUAAGGCUACGAAUUCCUUUCAGAAGUCUUUUCUCACCAACAACGCUACUGCCAUUCCAAUUUGCUGCAUCUUCAUCCUCCCCCCACCGUUGGAUUUCCCCUAAAAGGUACAAAAGUGGCAUUAUAGCCAUAAGACUAUUAAUUCCUUUCAGAAGUCUUUUCUCACCAACGCUACUGCCAUUCCAAUUUGCUGCAACUUCAUCUUCUUCCCUAGUUCUUAACAAUGUCUUCUUCUACCUCCUCAACAAAGGGUAAAGGUUUGUUAAGACCAAUAAAAAGUGUAGGUUCCGACUUUGAUGAUAAACCUCUUUGGAACCAUCUCAAAGUUCUUUCACUUACUCCAAGUGGUGGCGGAAAUAGAAUAUGUUCGUGUAACUAUUGUAACAAAAGAGUUACGGGAUCAUAUUCUAAAGUCAAAGCGCAUUUGUUAAAGAUUUCCGGUCAAGGUGUUCAAAUAUGUAAAGACAUAAGUAGAGAAGUUUGUGAAGCUUUGAAGCAAGAACACGAAGAAGCUGAAAACAAAAAGCAUCUGUACAACUUGACGCGAGGAACAAGGCAGAUUAUGUAUCACUUCCUGAAGGGUCAGAUUUAUCGCAUUUUAAAAAAAGAAAAGGUUCAAACGUUGGAGCUCUAGAGAAGUCGUUCGGCAUUGAGAAUAGGAAUAUCGCCGACAAAAUGGUAGCCCGCAUGUUCUACACUUCAGGUUUAUCUUUUAAUUUUGCCAAGUCUCCUUAUUUUAGAAAGUAUUCCGAGUUUUUGGCAAAGACUUCUAUACCGGGUUAUGUUUCGCCAACGUACAAUAGGUUAAGAACGACCCUUUUAGCUCAAGAAAAAGCUCAUAUUGAUAGAAAAUUGCAACCUAUUAAGGAUGCAUGGAAGAGAAAAGGGUUGUCUAUUUGUUCCGAUGGAUGGUCGGAUAUUAAGAGGCGACCAUUGAUAAACAUAAUAGCGGCUUCUAGUGGUGGUCCAAUAUUUUUAAAAUCAAUCAAUUCAAGUGGUGUUGAACUAUUGAUAAACAUAAUGGCGGCUUCUAGUGGUGGUCCAAUAUUUUUAAAAUCAAUCAAUUCAAGUGGUGUUGUGUAGGGUGGAGAAUAUAUAGCUAAUUUGUUCAUUAAAUCAAUUGAGGAUGUUGGUGCAUGUAAUGUUGUUCAAGUGAUCACCGAUAAUGCAAGUAAUAUGAAGCUUGCUGGUUCUACGGUUGAGCAAACUUAUCCACAUAUAUUUUGGACACCAUGUGUUGUUCAUUGUUUGAACCUUGCACUAAAAAACAUGUGCCAACCUUCCGAAAAAUCAAGCUCAAUUUAUAAAUUGUAAAUGGAUUUUAGAUUUGAUUGGUGAAGUUAGUAGCUUGAAAAUUUUUGCGUUGAAUCAUGAUAUGGCUCAUGCUCUUUUUCAAAAGUAUUCAGCAUUGUCUUUGUUGAAAGUUGCCGGCUUGAAAGUUUUUGUGUUGAAUCAUGAUAUGUCUCAUUCUCUUUUUCAAAAGCAUUCAGAGUGGUCUUUGUUGAAAGUUGCCGAAACAUAAUUUGCAUCUCAUAUUGUCAUGACUAGUCGUGUUCAUAAAGUGAAAGCAUCUUUGGAAAGAAUGGUAAUGAAUGAUGAUUGGAGAAACUAUAAGGGAGACAAAGUGAUUGAAGCUAAGACGCGUGAGAUUAAAUCCCUUGUAAUGAAUGACGAAUGGUGGGAUAAGAUUGAGUAUUUUUUAAAGUUUACCAAACCAGUUGUGUCUAUGCUUAGAAGUGCCGAUCUUGAUGCUCCAAAGUUGCAUCUUGUUUAUGACAUGUGGGAUACAAUGAUCGAAAAGGUGAAAGCAAUUAUCUUUGAACAAGAGGGAAAGGAUUUUAAAGAGCGUGGGAUACAAUGAUCGAAAAGGUGAAAGCAAUUAUCUUUGAACAAGAGGGAAAUGAUCUUAUUGUCGGGCAAUCAGACUUUUUUGAUACAAUUCAAAACAUACUUGUUGCUAGGUGGAAUAAGAGUAACACCCCUUUGCAUUGUAUGGCACAUUCUUUGGUACCAAAAUACUACCAUGAAUCAUGGCUUAUAGGGGAAGGCAAUGGGGUUCGAAGGCUUGCUCCAAAUGAGGAUAGAGAGAUUUUCUUAAAUAGAGUUAAAUGCUUUCAAAGAUACUUUAAAGAUUCAAAUGAUCUGAAAAAAGCAUCUUUGGAAUAUGGGAGGGGAAGGCAAUGGGAUUCGAAGGCUUGCUCCAAAUGAGGAUAGAGAGAUUUCCUUAAAUAGAGUUAAAUGCUUUUAAAGAUACUUUAAAGAUUCGAAUGAUCUAAAACAAGCAUCUUUGGAGUAUGGAGCAUUCGCAAGUGGGAGUAGUUUCUUUAGUGAGCCCCAUGUGGUUGAGGCUAUGAUGUAUGAGGAGCCUCUAUCUUGGUGGACUAACCAUGGUGUAAACGCUCCACUUUUGCAAAGCUUGGCGUACAAAUUGCUUUCACAACCGGCUUCUUCUUCUUGUUGCGUAAGGAAUUGGAGCACCUACUCAUUGAUCCAUAGUAUCAAAAGAAACAAGUUAGAGACUUCAAGAACCGAAGAUCUAGUUUUUGUGCACUACGAUCUUCGUUUGCUUUCUCGUCGAAAAGAAAAAUAUACAAGUGGCCCAAGCAAGUAUUGGGAUGUGGGUAUGUAUAUAACCUAUGUUUUCUUGAAUUUAUAUUUCCUUUAAAUUUUUUUAUUUUUCAAAAUCGUUUUAAGUUAUUCGAGAGAAGGUGGGGGUGGCCCCGGUGCAUGGGAAGAUGCGAGAAGCGAGGCUAAAGGCGGAGAUCGUUUUGAUGUUGAUGAAGCCACCAAUGAUCUACUUGACUUAUCCAUAGAUGAACCUCAACUAGAAGGGUCAUAUUUGAAGAAGAGAUUGAAGAUGUGCAAGAAGUUGGUCUUGAAAAUAUUGAAGAAGAAUGCUAAUGUUAUUGUUCAAUUGUUAUAACUUAGUAGUUAUCCUUUCCUACUUUUUGUUAGUUUAUCUAGUUUAAUGUUAAUGACUUAAUGUAACUUUAUAUGGGAAAUGCUCGAAUGGUGAUUGCAAUAGUUUAUUUUUGUCUUUUUGUGGUUCAUGCUUAUUUUGAUUGACUUAAUGAGAAUGGCUAACUCUUCAUAAUUU
rnacentral:lncRNA from 1 species